rnacentral:tRNA from 1 species
AUAGCUUUAAGUUAUAUAAACUAUAAACCUUCAAAGUUUAAAAAGAAAUUGUUUCAAGCUAUC